GGUGACUGUCCAGCAUGAGAUCAGUUACACAGUCAUCCACAUGACUGUUCAGAGUGAGAUGGGAUUUCUCAGCAACCUAGAACGACAGGCUCAGCUCUGACCCACAAGACCAGGGAGGAAAACUCUGCCCACUCUACUUCCUCCCCACAAGAGGAAUCAACAAGCCUUUCUCUGACUUUUUCAGCCCUUUCCAGAGACCGUCCAAAGGAAGACCAGGUCGAUGUGCUUGAAGUCAGCAAAAGAACAGACAGCGCAGCCACCCCCUGCAAGCAUGAGCGUCAUUGUUUUGAAGAUUCAUCUGUUGGCAGCAGGUCCUUCCUGAGGCUUCUGUUCCCACCAUGCAGUCCCCAUCCCUAGGCCCAGGUGCAGCCUGCCAAGCAGAUCAACUAGGGACGAUGUCUCUUUCAUGCCCAGGCCUGCCUCCACCAGAUGACAGACCUGCAAAGAGUCUUGUACCCGACCGUGGCUUGUACCAGGCAGCUCCUAUUGGGCCUAACAGCCUGGUUUGUACCUGGCUCUUCAGGGAAUACUGAAAUGUCUGCAGUUAUUGGGUAACUCUGUAUUGACUGUGCCCUGCCUUCCAUCUCAUCCAUAAAAUAAGGGAUGUGGGUCUAUUUACUUCAGUGGCCCUUUGUGUCUCUGAUGCAAGCCCUCUUGGCAUCACCACAGUAGUUCCGAGCGCCUACGCUGGCCUCUCUGGGGAGAGCGG
rnacentral:lncRNA from 1 species